AUUGAACGCUGGCGGCAUGCCUUACACAUGCAAGUCGAACGGCAGCACGGGGGCAACCCUGGUGGCGAGUGGCGAACGGGUGAGUAAUGCAUCGGAACGUACCCGGAAGUGGGGGAUAACGUAGCGAAAGUUACGCUAAUACCGCACAUUCUGUGAGCAGGAAAGCAGGGGAUCGCAAGACCUUGCGCUUUCGGAGCGGCCGAUGUCGGAUUAGCUAGUUGGUGGGGUAAAGGCCUACCAAGGCGACGAUCCGUAGCGGGUCUGAGAGGAUGAUCCGCCGCACUGGGACUGAGACACGGCCCAGACUCCUACGGGAGGCAGCAGUGGGGAAUUUUGGACAAUGGGCGCAAGCCUGAUCCAGCCAUGCCGCGUGAGUGAAGAAGGCCUUCGGGUUGUAAAGCUCUUUCGGCCGGGACGAAAUCGCCGUUUCUAAUACAGACGGUGGAUGACGGUACCGGAAUAAGAAGCACCGGCCAACUACGUGCCAGCAGCCGCAGUAAAAC
rnacentral:rRNA from 1 species